AAACCAUAGUGUGGACACUUUCUCAAUAGUCCCUUAUAUCUCUCCCACGCUUCAUAAAGUGACUCGUUCCCUUCCUACAUAAAUGAUGUGAUAUUGUUUCUCAUCUU